AAUUUGCCGAAUCGUUGAUCAAAGGAAGCGAUUCCUAUGGAUUUGUUGAAUUCUUGUUGACAACCAGAUUCUAUCAUUGCACGGUACAAGUCAGGAAAGUUGUAACGCGAGAGCUGAGAAUACUAAAAAAUUUGAAGCGUUAUCGAAUAAACACC